CUAUUUUAUCGCUAGUCGUUAUCAAUAGGCAAAAACACAGAGCACUAUCUCGCGGUUGUUAUGUUACUUGUGCAUAGUUCUUCUGAUAUCCACAUUUUCUCAAACAGCUAGUACUCAAAUUCAAACUCGGAGAUGGAGUCUCUGAAAUCCUCGUUCCUCUCCUCUACGCCACUCUUACCUCCACACCACACCAAGAAGACCAAGAAAAACAACCACAACAAAUCCAUUCUCCCCAUUCGCAGUUACACCCCAUCCCACGAAGUACACCGUGACCCAUGGUCCCCUCACACCGGCGACCCAACCAAACCAAAACCCAAUCACCUCAAACCUAAAACCCCUCUCUCCGACAACAACGCCCGCCGCAUAAUCAAGGGUAAAGCUCGCUAUCUCAGCGCUCUGAGGAGGAACCAAGGUCCCAAAGCUCAAACUCCUCGUUGGAUUAAGCGAACUCCUGAACAGAUGGUUCAGUAUUUGCAAGAUGAUCGUAAUGGUCAGUUGUAUGGGAAACACGUGAUUGCUGCUAUUAAGAAGGUUCGAGCUCUUUCGGAGAUGGCGGAUGGGGUGUAUGAUAUGAGGGUGGUUAUGGGUUCUUUUGUUGGGAAGCUUACUUUUAAGGAGAUGUGUGUUGUGCUUAAGGAGCAAAAGGGGUGGAGACAAGUUAGGGAUUUCUUUGGCUGGAUGAAAAUGCAGCUGAGCUACCAUCCGAGUGUUAUUGUCUAUACUAUAAUAUUGCGCCUAUAUGGGCAAGUUGGAAAGCUUAAUCUGGCGGAAGAAAUCUUCUUGGAGAUGCUCGAUGCAGGUUGUGAACCAGAUGAAGUGGCUUGUGGUACCAUGCUCUGUUCUUAUGCAAGAUGGGGGCGCCAUAAGUCCAUGUUAUCUUUCUAUUCAGCUGUGAAAGAAAGGGGAAUAAUUCUCUCGGUUGCUGUCUUCAACUUUAUGCUAUCAUCAUUGCAAAAGAAAUCACUCCAUAGAGAGGUUGUUCUGGUGUGGAGGGAUAUGGUAAGAAAUGGGGUAGUACCUAAUUAUUUUACUUAUACGGUAGUCAUUAGUUCUCUUGUCAAAGAAGGGCUGCACGUCGAUGCUCUCGAGACUUUUGAUGAGAUGAAGAAUAGCGGAUUUGUCCCUGAGGAAUCAACUUAUAACUCACUCAUAAAUUUAAAUGCUAAAAAUGGAAACAGAGAUCAAGUGCAAAGACUGUAUGACGAAAUGAGGUUUCAUGGAGUAGCUCCUAGUAAUUACACUUGUGCUACACUUAUAUCUUUGUAUUACAAAUACGAGGAUUACCCUAAAGUCCUCUCUCUCUUUUCUGAAAUGGCAAGAAACAAAACCCCAGCUGAUGAAGUCAUAUAUGGUUUGCUUAUAAGAGUUUAUGGAAAGCUUGGUUUAUACGAGGAUGCUUGCAAAACAUUUGAAAAGAUAAAAUACCAAGGCCUACUCACCAAUGAGAAGACAUAUUUGGCAAUGGCACAAGUCCUUCUUGCUUCAGGAAAUGUCGACAAAGCUUUAGAAGUUAUUGGACUCAUGAAGUCUAGAAACCUACGGUUCUCUCGAUUUGCUUAUAUUGUCCUGUUACAGUGUUACGUGACUAAAGAAAAUGUAGUAUCAGCUGAGGGAACAUUUUUAGCUCUAUGCAAGUCAGGGCUGCCCGAUGCCGGUUCUUGUAACGAUAUGCUUAGUCUGUAUGUAGGACUUGAUUUGAUGAACAAGGCGAAGGAAUUUAUCGUUCGAAUAAGGAAGGACGGGACACAAUUUGACGAGGAGCUGUACAGGACAGUCAUGAAGGUUUAUUGCAAGGAGGGAAUGCUGCCGGAAGCUGAGCAGUUGACAAAUGAAAUGGUUAAGUAUGAAUCUCUCAAAAAUUCUAAAUUCCUCCAGACAUUUUAUUGGAUUCUUUGUGAACAUAAGGAGGAUGUGCAAAUUGAUGAUAAACUAGUCACCAUGAAGUCCACUGACAAACUCGAUACUACAGCUCUUGGGAUGAUGCUCCGUGCAUAUCUGACAAAUAACAACUUCAGUAAGACAAAAAUGUUACUGAAACUAUUGCUGGGUUGUGCAGGGGGAUCAAAUAUUGUUUGUCAUAUCAUCAUUAAUUUGACUAAAAAUGGAGAAAUCAGUAAAGCCGAAUCACUCAACCAUCAAUUGAUUAGCCUUGGCUGCAAAAUGGAAGAAGUCACUGCAGCUUCUUUAAUUAGCCAUUAUGGGAAACACCAUAUGCUCAAACAAGCUGAGGAUAUUUUUGCAGAAUAUGUAAAUUCUCCAACGUAUCGUAAACUAUUUUAUAACUCUAUGAUUGAUGCAUAUGCCAAAUGCAGCAAACAAGAAAAAGCAUAUUUGUUAUAUAAGCAAGCAACAGAGGAAGGACAUGAUUUAGGUGCUGUUGGUGUUACCCUUGCUGUAAAUGCUUUGACAAAUGAAGGAAAACAUCAGGAGGCUGAGAAUAUCAUCUCCCGGAGCCUUGAAGAAAACAUAAAACUUGAUACUGUUGCUUAUAAUACGUUUAUCAAAUCCAUGCUUGAAGCAGGAAAAUUGCAUUUUGCAUCUAGUAUUUUUGAGCUCAUGUGUACCAAUGGCAUCACUCCAUCAAUUCAAACAUAUAACACUAUGAUAAGUGUCUACGGAAAAUAUCAAAAGUUGGACAGAGCUGUGGAGAUGUUCAACAAAGCUAGCUCAUUAGGCGUCCCUUUGGAUGAUAAAGCAUAUAUGAAUUUGAUAGGCUAUUAUGGGAAAGCUGGUAUGAUACAGGAAGCUUCACAGUUGUUUAGUAAAAUGCAGGAAGAAGGAAUUAGACCUGGAAAGAUCAGCUAUAAUAUUAUGAUAUAUGUAUAUGCAAAUGCUGGAGUUCUUCAUGAAGUAGAGAAACUUUUCCAGGCCAUGCAGAGACAAGGUUGUUUGCCCGAUUCUUCCACCUAUCUUUCACUAGUCCAAGCAUAUACAGAAAGCCUAAAUUACUCCAAAGCUGAGGAAACCAUAUAUACUAUGCAGAGCAAGGGCAUUUCACCAUCCUGUGCCCAUUUUAAUAUUUUGCUCUCAGCAUUCAUAAAAGCCGGGAUGAUUGAUGAAGCCAAGAGGGUAUAUGCAAGAAUAUCAACUUUCGGUUUAAUUCCCGAUCUCAUAUGUAACCGAACAAUUCUGAAAGGUUACCUGAAAUAUGGACGUGUGGAAGAAGGAAUCAACUUUUUUGAAAGUAUACGCAAAUCAACAAAAGGGGACAGGUUCAUCAUGAGUGUAGCUGUACAUUUAUAUAAAUCCGCAGGAAAGGAAAGCCAGGCUAAUGAAAUAUUGAGUUCAAUGAACAAUAUGAGGAUUCCUUUCCUCAAAAAACUUGAAGUGGGAUCGGGGAGAGAGUGAAAGUUCCUUGAGAUAUAAACUACUUAAAAAAUGCAUGUAUGUUUGAGAAGCAAUAUGGUAACAGAGAAGAGCCGGCAAUGAUCAUCGAGCUUGUAUAUAUUACUUAAUUGACAAUGGUGUUGAGGGAACCCUGGCUAUAGCUCUGCAUUACUGCUGGCAAGGAUGAUUGAACAAUUUGAACUCUUAGUUCAAAAUGUACUUUUGCUGUUAACGACGAGGACCCGGGCCACUUUCAUAUCCGUAAAUUCUGUAUAUGCCAAGAAAGUGUUUAUUCUACCUCCCAAUUAAAGGAAGUUGAACCAAGGAGUAACUUGUGCAACUAUUAUGAUAAGAGUGUGUUUAGUGGGGAUACUUGUGAACACUUGGGGUUCACAAGUGACUCUUUGGCCCCAUAAAUUUAUACACGUGUACAGAUUUAUAUGUUCAUUGAAAUUCCAUAUUCGUUGACCACAUAAAAGGAACUUGUUGAUAGCAUUUUUUGAUAUUCUAGCAGGACCUCUCUUUCUAAAGUCUUAUAAAACUUGUUGAUGAACCUCUGCUCUUUCAUCCAUCCACUUGUAUCAGAGGUGUGUUAGCAACAACAAUCUUCCAUGCAUCCUCCAUAGUGGCGACAUCCUCCAUAGUGGCUAUGUCGCCGCAAUCUUUGUCCUGCUUAUUUCCUCUAGUGCAAAGGCCUUAUUGAGAUUUUCUCGUUUUUUAAUAUAAAUUCAUUUUAAAAAUUCCAUAUGCAUUAAUGACUUUUUUUAUAAUUUUUUAUAUCGAAUUUACUUUUGAUAAAC